GACGAACGCUGGCGGCGUGCUUAACACAUGCAAGUCGAACGGAAAGGCCCUGCUUUUGUGGGGUGCUCGAUUGGCGAACGGGUGAGUAACACGUGAGUAACCUGCCCUUGACUUUGGGAUAACUUCAGGAAACUGGGGCUAAUACCGGAUAGGAUCUCCUGCUGCAUGGUGGGGGUUGGAAAGUUUCGGCGGUUGGGUAUGGACUCGCUGCUUAUCAGCUUGUUUGUGGGGUAGUUGCUUACCAAGGCUUUGACGGGUAGCCGGCCUGAGAGGGUGACCGGCGACAUUGGGACUGAGAGACGGACCAGACUGCAACGGGAGGCAGAAGUGGGGAAUAUUGCACAAUGGGCGGAAGCGAGAUGCAGAAACGCCGCGUGCGGGAUGACGGCCUUCGGGUGGAAAACAGAUUUAGCAUGUGAAGAAGAGGGAGUGACGGUAAUGGGUAAAGAAGCACCGGCUAACUACGUG
rnacentral:rRNA from 1 species